rnacentral:rRNA from 1 species
UACGAAGGGUGCAAGCGUUGUUCGGAAUCAUUGGGCGUAAAGCGCGUGUAGGCGGUUAUUUAAGUCAGAUGUGAAAUCCCUCGGCUCAACCAAGGAAGUGCAUUUGAAACUAAAUAGCUAGAAGAUGGUAGAGGAAGGUGGAAUUCCAAGUGUAGAGGUGAAAUUCGUAGAUAUUUGGAGGAAUACCUGAGGCGAAGGCGGCCUUCUGGGCCAUUCUUGACGCUGAGACGCGAAAGCGUGGGUAGCAAACAGG